rnacentral:rRNA from 1 species
UACAGAGGAGCCAAGCGUUGUCCGGAUUGACUGGGCGUAAAGCGCACGCAGGCGGACGCGCGCGUGGGGUGUGAAAUCUGGCCGCUUAACGGCCAGGCGCCAUCCCAUACGGCGCGUCUGGAGCAAUGCAGAGGUCGGUGGAAUUGCCGGUGUAGUGGUGAAAUGCGUAGAGAUCGGCAGGAACACCCAGGGGGAAACCAGCCGACUGGGCAUAGGCUGACGCUGGAGGU